ACAUAAUGUCGAAGAAUUAAAGCAUUCUUUCCAUAUCCAAUUCUCAAAAUCUUGAUAUCUCCUCAAGGCAUGAUUCCUCUCAGUUUCAUUCCUUCCAAGCUCAACAGAAAAAGAUGUGGUCUCAGACAUAUCAGAAUCUACAACACAUACAGAACUGUUUGGGCUAUCAAUACCGGAGCCACAGUCAUGGCCUGUAACCAUUUCAACUGCUUCUGCUUUAACACUCCCCCCACUUUGUCUCUCCAUAUCAGCACGUAGCAUGUUCCUCCUGACAGCCUCCUUAAAGCACAUCUCAACCUUUUGUAACAUCAUGUGCAAGUAGGAUUCCCUAACCCCUCGUACAUCCAAAGAUGCCAACAGAGAAUCUAAACCCUGUUCAGUAUCAAUAAGCCUCCAACGACCAUCAUGUAACUCAACAAAGAUCCUGCCACAUCCAGGAUCAUUGCAAGAAGCAGAUGUUAUAAACUGCCAGUAUCGAUUACGUCGGCGAUCUUGACCAAGAGGCAAUGAUCUGUAUACAUACAUCUCUUCAGCCUUGUGACCAAUGAAGGAUUUUAAC
rnacentral:misc_RNA from 1 species